rnacentral:rRNA from 1 species
CCGAGUCUUAACUGGGCGUUAAGUUGCAGGGUAUAGACCCGAAACCCGGUGAUCUAGCCAUGGGCAGGUUGAAGGUUGGGUAACACUAACUGGAGGACCGAACCGACUAAUGUUGAAAAAUUAGCGGAUGACUUGUGGCUGGGGGUGAAAGGCCAAUCAAACCGGGAGAUAGCUGGUUCUCCCCGAAAGCUAUUUAGGUAGCGCCUCGUGAAUUCAUCUCCGGGGGUAGAGCACUGUUUCGGCAAGGGGGUCAUCCCGACUUACCAACCCGAUGCAAACUGCGAAUACCGGAGAAUGUUAUCACGGGAGACACACGGCGGGUGCUAACGUCCGUCGUGAAGAGGGAAACAACCCAGACCGCCAGCUAAGGUCCCAAAGUCAUGGUUAAGUGGGAAACGAUGUGGGAAGGCCCAGACAGCCAGGAUGUUGGCUUAGAAGCAGCCAUCAUUUAAAGAAAGCGUAAUAGCUCACUGGUCGAGUCGGCCUGCGCGGAAGAUGUAACGGGGCUAAACCAUGCACCGAAGCUGCGGCAGCGACACUAUGUGUUGUUGGGUAGGGGAGCGUUCUGUAAGCCUGUGAAGGUGUGCUGUGAGGCAUGCUGGAGGUAUCAGAAGUGCGAAUGCUGACAUAAGUAACGAUAAAGCGGGUGAAAAGCCCGCUCGCCGGAAGACCAAGGGUUCCUGUCCAACGUUAAUCGGGGCAGGGUGAGUCGACCCCUAAGGCGAGGCCGAAAGGCGUAGUCGAUGGGAAACAGGUUAAUAUUCCUGUACUUGGUGUUACUGCGAAGGGGGGACGGAGAAGGCUAUGUUGGCCGGGCGACGGUUGUCCCGGUUUAAGCGUGUAGGCUGGUUUUCCAGGCAAAUCCGGAAAAUCAAGGCUGAGGCGUGAUGACGAGGCACUACGGUGCUGAAGCGACAAAUGCCCUGCUUCCAGGAAAAGCCUCUAAGCAUCAGGUAACAUCGAAUCGUACCCCAAACCGACACAGGUGGUCAGGUAGAGAAUACCAAGGCGCUUGAGAGAACUCGGGUGAAGGAACUAGGCAAAAUGGUGCCGUAACUUCGGGAGAAGGCACGCUGAUAUGUAGGUGAAGCGACUUGCUCGUGGAGCUGAAAUCAGUCGAAGAUACCAGCUGGCUGCAACUGUUUAUUAAAAACACAGCACUGUGCAAACACGAAAGUGGACGUAUACGGUGUGACGCCUGCCCGGUGCCGGAAGGUUAAUUGAUGGGGUUAGCGGCAACGCGAAGCUCUUGAUCGAAGCCCCGGUAAACGGCGGCCGUAACUAUAACGGUCCUAAGGUAGCGAAAUUCCUUGUCGGGUAAGUUCCGACCUGCACGAAUGGCGUAAUGAUGGCCAGGCUGUCUCCACCCGAGACUCAGUGAAAUUGAACUCGCUGUGAAGAUGCAGUGUACCCGCGGCAAGACGGAAAGACCCCGUGAACCUUUACUAUAGCUUGACACUGAACAUUGAGCCUUGAUGUGUAGGAUAGGUGGGAGGCUUUGAAGUGUGGACGCCAGUCUGCAUGGAGCCGACCUUGAAAUACCACCCUUUAAUGUUUGAUGUUCUAACGUUGGCCCCUUAUCGGGGUUGCGGACAGUGUCUGGUGGGUAGUUUGACUGGGGCGGUCUCCUCCUAAAGAGUAACGGAGGAGCACGAAGGUUGGCUAAUCCUGGUCGGACAUCAGGAGGUUAGUGCAAUGGCAUAAGCCAGCUUGACUGCGAGCGUGACGGCGCGAGCAGGUGCGAAAGCAGGUCAUAGUGAUCCGGUGGUUCUGAAUGGAAGGGCCAUCGCUCAACGGAUAAAAGGUACUCCGGGGAUAACAGGCUGAUACCGCCCAAGAGUUCAUAUCGACGGCGGUGUUUGGCACCUCGAUGUCGGCUCAUCACAUCCUGGGGCUGAAGUAGGUCCCAAGGGUAUGGCUGUUCGCCAUUUAAAGUGGUACGCGAGCUGGGUUUAGAACGUCGUGAGACAGUUCGGUCCCUAUCUGCCGUGGGCGCUGGAGAACUGAGGGGGGCUGCUCCUAGUACGAGAGGACCGGAGUGGACGCAUCACUGGUGUUCGGGUUGUCAUGCCAAUGGCACUGCCCGGUAGCUAAAUGCGGAAGAGAUAAGUGCUGAAAGCAUCUAAGCACGAAACUUGCCCCGAGAUGAGUUCUCCCUGACCCUUUAAGGGUCCUGAAGGAACGUUGAAGACGACGACGUUGAUAGGCCGGGUGUGUAAGCGCAGCGAUGCGUUGAGCUAACCGGUACUAAUGAACCGUGAGG